rnacentral:rRNA from 1 species
GAUGAACGCUGGCGGCGUGCCUAAUACAUGCAAGUCGAGCGAACGGACGAGAAGCUUGCUUCUCUGAUGUUAGCGGCGGACGGGUGAGUAACACGUGGAUAACCUACCUAUAAGACUGGGAUAACUUCGGGAAACCGUAGCUAAUACCGGAUAAUAUUUUGAACCGCAUGGUUCAAAAGUGAAAGACGGUCUUGCUGUCACUUAUAGAUGGAUCCGCGCUGCAUUAGCUAGUUGGUAAGGUAACGGCUUACCAAGGCAACGAUGCAUAGCCGACCUGAGAGGGUGAUCGGCCACACUGGAACUGAGACACGGUCCAGACUCCUACGGGAGGCAGCAGUAGGGAAUCUUCCGCAAUGGGCGAAAGCCUGACGGAGCAACGCCGCGUGAGUGAUGAAGGUCUUCGGAUCGUAAAACUCUGUUAUUAGGGAAGAACAUAUGUGUAAGUAACUGUGCACAUCUGGACGGUACCUAAUCAGAAAGCCACGGCUACUACGUG